GACAGGUUGUAAAGAAUGGUUCUCAGUGCUGCUUUCAUCAUGAAAGACUGAAGAAUCACUAUUGGCUCAUUUUAUAGGAAAGAAAUACUUUCACAGAAGAGCAUGCCUAUAGUAACUUUGGAAAUAUUCCACAUCUUGGAAGAGCUGGCUUAGGAUAUAAAGAAACUUGAAAAUAAAAAAAAAUGGCCUAAUCAGAAAAUAUUUAGUUUUUGCCAUAAACUAUAUCAAACAUGUAGACAUAGUACACAUGGACUUGCUUCUUUUGGUUUUCAGUGCCUGUAACUUAUUAAUAAAAGUCAGUGGAGAACAUCUAUCCUAAAAUGUUUAAAUAUUUUUAGCUUGAUUUAAGAUGCAUUUGGUUUGAAAUAGGAUAUGUGGUAUGUAAUGGAAAACUGAAAGUGACAUGAACAGAAAUAUUGAUAAUUAAGACAUAUCAGUUACAACAUACUCAUUGAUCUCAUUGAUUUGAAAGUAAUUUGCUCAGCAUAAUGUGUAUUAUCUUAACAUUAAUUUAUGGCUUCUUGCUGAUUGAGUGAAAUUCAGCUUAAAAUAAAUCACCAGUGUCUACCCUGACAGCAAUAGUAGGCAAAAAAAAGAGGACCGAAAACUGAGCAAUUUUUCUUCCAUAUGUCUCUAGACUCUGUAUCACUGUCGAUUUAAAAAGUCAAAUAUUUGUGCUCUGUCUGGCUCAACUAAAGUUAAGUGUGGCAUUGUACUGUUUGCUACCCAAUAAUCUGUGAUUAAUUUUCAGAAUGACCCUUUCUAUUUUUCUUCAUAUGUGAUUUGCCAAG
rnacentral:lncRNA from 1 species